CCCUAGUACCACACUCCCUGGUCAGUGUAGCCAGAUGCCCACGGGCACCGCUGCCCACAGCAGAGCAUGGACACCAUGGGCACCCCCAGACCAGGAUGUGGGGCUCAAUCCCAGGGUUGCCCUUUGCACAGCUUGUAAAUGGCUGAGGGGGAUUCCAAGGGUAGCUGUGGGGUUGGAGCCUCUGCUGUGGUCCUGGAAGAAGCUCUGAGCUCAGUCCAGCAGGGCUCCAGGGACCCCAGCAGUGGGGCAACACCAGGCACUGGAGAUGAACAAGGCUGACCAUCCUCCCCACUUGCUGUUCAUGAGCCACCAUCCACAGGAGGUGCUAGGGAGGCCGGCGAUCCCUUGGCCAGGGCAUAGGGUCAGCCUGAAGGCCUGGAACCCACCAGCUUGGCCAGCACCUCAAUGCGUUCCUGGGCACAAUCUCAGCAGGACACCAGGCGCUGACUGCUGGUGUGGACGGAGCUGGACGGGGGAGGAGAGAGUUCUGGCCCCCCCAUCAGCCUCUCUCCAGAGGCAGGCGAAGCCCCAGGAGGGGAGGCAUGUCCACUCCCCACAGCCCCUCCCAUACCAGAGGCCCUUGACAAUGCGCCUGCAGGUCAGGCGACCAGCUAGGUGUGGGGUGAGCCCCCGCCUCUGUUUCCCCAAAUGACUGGUAUGUUCCUGGGCACACAUCCGAUGGCUGCCAGCCUGAUGGCGGGCACUGCUGGUAAAUUCUAGGCACAGGAGCACCCUCUGGACAGGGCUUCCUAACCUGGGGCCUCUUGGCAUGGGGCACCCACAGCGCAGUGCCAGGGCCAGGAACCGCUCACUCAGCAAGAGCAGCAACUUCCCACCGAGUGCUUUUCAGGCAAGGACUCUGCCCAGCACAAAUGGGUCCCUCAAAGCUCUGGUGUCACCAUCUGAGAUCAGUCUGGCCAGGCUGAAAUGGAGCUGUUGGCAGGGCCAUGCCCCCUCUCGAGGCUCUCGGGGAGACCCUGCUUCCUCCCCUUUCCCAGCUCCAGCGCCACUUCCUGCCUCCUGGCCCCUUCCCCCUUCAGAGCCAGCAGCGUGAAGUAGCAGCUUCACCUCUCCCUCUGCGUCUUCCCUCUUCUUGCCUCUCUCUUAUGAGGACACUCGUGACUGCAUUUGGAGCCCACCAGGCAAUCCAGGGUCAUGCCCUCACCCCGAGAUCCUGAACUUCGCCACAACUACAGAGCCCCCUUUGCCAUAUGAGGUGACAUUCACAGGUUCCAGGGUUUAGGAUGCGGACGUCAUUAUUCAGCCAAUCACAAUGUAUAUCUCAAAAACACAAAGAAUAAGCAAGCUGGAGUGGCUACAUUUAUAUAAGGAAGGGGACCAUUCCCAGGGAUCAAGACAGACAUUUUGGAUGGGAUCUCAGCAGUUUGGGAGGCCAAGGCAGGAGGAUCACUUGAGC
rnacentral:lncRNA from 1 species